GUUCCCCUGAACCAAGCUGAAAAGGAAGACAUGCAUUUGGGAGCUCUGACCACUAGGUGUCGCACCUCGCUCGAAGUCAAACUCCGGACCGCACGCCCUGGAGUCCCCUCAGGCGUCGGUACUGAAGGGAACGCGCAGGCCGCGGUCCCUGCCUCAGAGGGAUCGCUUGGCUUUACUUGGAGAUGGUUUUCAGAGCUACACCAUGCUGACUUGGACGUGGGCUCUGCCAACGUGAAAGAGUUUUCCAGCCACGAACAGCAGUGAAAGUCAUCGCUGGAACGACUUUGAAAGUCAAGAGAGGAAAUCAAUAUCUGUAUCCUUGAGAAAUAAAACCCCCUGCUAUCACGUUUUCCACACAAUCACAAGUGGGUUAUCUGGAGAUAAAUUUAAAGUCUCAGAAAUUGUUUAUUAGAAUGCACACAAUUCUUUCACCAAUGACGUAGUCAUACCAAUUCACACAAAUAGAAAAUAAUUUAAAAUCUGAUCAUGGUGCAAUCCUUUAGCACAAAAUGAAUUAACAAUUCCCCUUUCUGAUGCCUAAAUGAUUUCUCACUCUAUAAUAAUGAGCCCUGGUGAGUUUUCCAAGCCUGUUGUCACACGUCACUCUGGAAGGGUAACCGGUCCUUGGGACAACAGAAACUUUACUGCCCCACACACCCCUUCAUUUAUUACACGUUACCCCAGAUCCUUUCCCCGUAACAGACAAUAGCAUGAGUGUAAGAGUUUUUGUCAGGUUCUCUGAGUCCUAGUGAAUUGCCAAACCUGAAGGUGGUUUUGGCAACACUCCGGGAGUGGAGUUAGUGUUAGAAGGGUGGUUUUAUGUAAAUUCCUCCCUCUAUCUCUGUGUUUGGAUCCUGACUAAGGCUACUUAGACUGUCAAACUAAAUACUGCCUAUUAGCUGGCUCAAACCACAGAAAUUUAUUUAUGUUUUUUUUUUAUUUCUGGAAGCUGGAAGUCCAAGAUCAAGGUGCUGGCAGCGGUUUUCUUCCUGGCUCGCACAUAGCUGUCAUCUCAAUGUCACCGCACAUGGUGGAGAAACAGGUUUCCCGGUAUCUUUUUCUAUUUUAUGAAGAUUUCUGUAGAUCAGGAUUUCACCCUGAUGACCCUGUGAUAGGUAACUGCUGAGUCAGCUGGAGUAGGAAAUGCCCAACUGAUUCGCUUAGCACAGUUCUGGGUGUGACGGACUGGGUUUACUGAAGAUCAGAGGCCCACCUGGUGUGGUGGCACCAACCAACAGGCUUGUAGCCUGGAUGGAAUAAAAAGGGGAAGAAGGGAGGCUCGCUUCCGCUUCUUCAAAGGAGCUGCAGCCCUUGCCUUUGCCUCGGGGAUCCAUCUCCUGGCUUCUGCCACACCGUUCAGCCUUACAACACAGACCCUUCAGAUUCCUGACACAGAUUUGCACGGGACUCUGCGGUGAGCUCCAGGCCUUCGACCUUUGCCUGGCUCUUUUGGAUCUCGAGUGCAGACAGCCCUUCUGCACUCUUCCACACCUGACUCUGCAGGUAGCCACUGUAAGCCUACCUUAUAAAUUAUAGAAUCUCUUUCUCUACUGAGCACUGAUUGGUACAGAUCUCAUUUAACUUUUAUCAUGUCCUUAAAAAUGCCCUAACUCCGAUAUAAUCACAUGGGGAUUUUUGCAUUUUAACAUAUGAAUUUACGAGGUGGUAGUAAUUCAGUUUACAGCAGACCCUAACUCCUUAUAUUUGGGGGUCACAAAUCUUGGGCAGACCUGGCAGUUCAGGAACCAUGCACUGACUUCCCUGUUUUGAUGGUGGCCUACUAUAACCUGAGGCUAUAAUUAAAAAGUGUACCUGAAACAUGCAAGGUGGAAUAAGCCAGACACAAACAAAAUAUUGUAUGAUUUCACUUAUACAUGGUAUCCAGAUUAGUCACAUUCACAGAAAAAUAAAGCAGAAAUGCCAAGGUCUAGUGAGAGGGGAAAUGAAGAGUUAACUGUUUAAUGGGUUAGUUUCAGUUAGAUGAAAGGAAAGUUCUGGAGAUGGGUAGUCACGAUGGUUGCCUGAAGAUAUGAAUAUAGUUAAAACCACUGGAUUGUGAACAGUACUUAAAAGUAUUAAGAUGGCAAAAUGUACUAUAUAAGCAGCCACAA
rnacentral:lncRNA from 1 species